rnacentral:rRNA from 1 species
UAGAUACCCUGGUAGUCCACGCAGUAAACGAUGAUUACUGGCUGUUUGCGAUAUAGUGUAAGCGGCUGAGCGAAAGCGUUAAGUAAUCCACCUGGGGAGUACGUUCGCAAGAAUGAAACUCAAAGGAAUUGACGGGGGCCCGCACAAGCGGAGGAACAUGUGGUUUAAUUCGAUGAUACGCGAGGAACCUUACCCGGGCUUGAAAUGCAUCUGGCAGGCACAGAGACGUGCCCUCCUUCGGGCAGAUGUGUAGGUGCUGCAUGGUUGUCGUCAGCUCGUGCCGUGAGGUGUCGGCUUAAGUGCCAUAACGAGCGCAACCCCUAUCGUUAGUUGCCAUCAGGUAGUGCUGGGGACUCUAACGAGACUGCCAUCGUAAGAUGCGAGGAAGGUGGGGAUGACGUCAAAUCAGCACGGCCCUUACGUCCGGGGCGACACACGUGUUACAAUGGGUGGUACAAAGGGCAGCUACAUGGCGACAUGAUGCCAAUCUCGAAAACCACUCUCAGUUCGGAUCGGAGUCUGCAACUCGACUCCGUGAAGCUGGAUUCGCUAGUAAUCGCGCAUCAGCCACGGCGCGGUGAAUACGUUCCCGGGCCUUGUACACACCGCCCGUCAAGCCAUGGAAGCUGGGGGUGCCUGAAGUCCGUAACCGUCAAGGGGCGGCCUAGGGUAAAACUAGUGACUGGGGCUAAGUCGUAACAAGGUAACCAAU